UUGGGCGUAAGCGCGCGCAGGUGGUUUCUUAAGUCUGAUGUGAAAGCCCACGGCUUAACCGUGGAGGGUCAUUGGAAACUGGGAGACUUGAGUGCAGAAGAGGAAAGUGGAAUUCCAAGUGUAGCGGUGAAAUGCGUAGAGAUUUGGAGGAACACCAGUGGCGAAGGCGACUUUCUGGUCUGCAACUGACGCUGAGGCGCGAAAGCAUGGGGAGCAAACAGGAUUAGAUACCCUGGUAGUCCAUGCCGUAAACGAUGAGUGCUAAGUGUUAGGGGGUUUCCGCCCCUUAGUGCUGCAGCUAACGCAUUAAGCACUCCGCCUGGGGAGUACGACCGCAAGGUUGAAACUCAAAGGAAUUGACGGGGGCCCGCACAAGCGGUGGAGCAUGUGGUUUAAUUCGAAGCAACGCGAAGAACCUUACCAGGUCUUGACAUCCCGAUGACCGCUCUAGAGAUAGAGUUUUCCCUUCGGGGACAUUGGUGACAGGUGGUGCAUGGUUGUCGUCAGCUCGUGUCGUGAGAUGUUGGGUUAAGUCCCGCAACGAGCGCAACCCUUAAUCUUAGUUGCCAUCAUUUAGUUGGGCACUCUAAGGUGACUGCCGGUGAUAAACCGGAGGAAGGUGGGGAUG
rnacentral:rRNA from 1 species